AUUCAAACAGGUGAGGAUAGAGAGUCAGGACACUUAAGGAAGGUGGGCUGGUGGUAGGACCGCAUUUCUUCUUUCCCAACUCUGAGAGAGAAAAACCAUCCUCCUUGCCUUCAAGAAGCUUCUGGAAAACAGGGCAUAGACAGUAAGGGCUUCCUCAGAGACUAGGAAGCUUGGGAGGAAAGGUAGAGAGGUUAGGGCAGUAGAUUGGAAGAUGAUUUUUGGAUAAGGUGGCAGUCGUAAUCGACUUUAGAAAACAAAAAGGAUUUCACCAAGCAGAGGGCAAAGGAAGACCAGUGUGCUCUAAGAACACUUGCUGUGCAUUCGUCUCUCCAGAGUUGGACCAGAGAGCAGAGUCACAUGGGAAAAGGGGACACAAUCCCAAACCUGAAGAUGAAGGAGUUCUGGUAUUGAGGUGCUGCCCCCUUGCGGUGCAGACUCAGCCCGCUGCUCUUGUCGCCUGUGUGAUGCUGCUGGCCAAGCAAGUGCGGAUCCACUGGGCACUGGCUGCCCCCUAGUGUUGACAACGUGGUAUUGACAGCUUACCAAAGCUUGUAGGAGUCCCUGAGCCCUGGAGCUCAGAGAUUGUCCAAGGAUACCGCAGAAAUGGGCCCAAAACUCCGUGUAAUCACUGGUUCUAGGGCCCAUUGGGAGCAACUUGGUUCUCAAUUGUGUGUGGGCUGCAACACUACAGACAGUCACAUUCACAUUCAAAAUAAAUGCUGUCCUGCAGACUCUGCUCCCUUCCUUGGUCACUGGCUAUGCUUACCUCCUACCUUAGCAAAAAUUUACCUGCGGGUUACAUUUUAAAAGAAAAGUGAAUUUAGAAAGAAAAUGAAAUUUAUGACAGCAUCUGAACUCACAAACCAUAAUUGCAAUCGACACAACUAAAUAACUUGUCGGCAGUAAUAUUACUCCCUCUGGGCUCAGCAAAUCUAAAAGUCUGCGUUGGCCCUGGAAGUUUUCAUUUCACUUAUUCCGAAAAGAUGAAGGGAAAACAAGUGUGCGAGGGAGCAAUUAUUAUACAGAUAUCCUUGCA
rnacentral:lncRNA from 1 species